rnacentral:lncRNA from 1 species
UCUUAAACCAUAUGUAUCCUAAUUCAACCAUAAUCGAAUGAAAUUAUCUUAAUCGAAUCGGUCGGAAUGUUAAGUGCUACCAUAUGGCCAACUCUAUGAGGGAGUUGGGAUUUUAGAAUUUUUAUUCUUAUAAUAAUUAUGAUUAAAUUUGAUAAAAAUAUAUUUUCAGAUAUUGAGAAUUUUAUGAUUAAUUAAAUUUAUUUGCUCGUUGUUCAUGCA